rnacentral:rRNA from 1 species
AGACGUCUACAUUAGAUACCCCGGUAGUCCCAGCCGUAAACGAUGCGCGUUAGGUGUAUCGACGACCACGAGUCGUCGAGGUGCCGAAGGGAAACCGUGAAACGUGCCGCCUGGGAAGUACGGUCGCAAGGCUGAAACUUAAAGGAAUUGGCGGGGGAGCACCACAACAGGUGGAGCCUGCGGUUUAAUUGGACUCAACGCCGGAAAUCUCACCGGAUAAGACAGCGGAAUGAUUGCCGGGCUGAAGACUCUGCAUGACUAGCUG